rnacentral:rRNA from 1 species
GACUAACGCUGGCGGCGUGCCUAACACAUGCAAGUCGAGCGCCCCGCAAGGGGAGCGGCAGACGGGUGAGUAACGCGUGGGAAUCUACCCAUCCCUACGGAAUAGCUCCGGGAAACUGGAAUUAAUACCGUAUACGCCCUACGGGGGAAAGAUUUAUCGGGGAUGGAUGAGCCCGCGUUGGAUUAGCUAGUUGGUGGGGUAAAGGCCUACCAAGGCGACGAUCCAUAGCUGGUCUGAGAGGAUGAUCAGCCACAUUGGGACUGAGACACGGCCCAAACUCCUACGGGAGGCAGCAGUGGGGAAUAUUGGACAAUGGGGGCAACCCUGAUCCAGCCAUGCCGCGUGAGUGAUGAAGGCCUUAGGGUUGUAAAGCUCUUUCACCGGGGAAGAUAAUGACGGUACCCGGAGAAGAAGCCCCGGCUAACUUCGUGCCAGCAGCCGCGGUAAGAGUACUCUAU